rnacentral:lncRNA from 1 species
UACAGAAGGACAACAACGCUACGAAGAAAAGGAUCGCCAACAUGACUAGCACCAAAGACAACGCUCGCGUUCCGUGCUUGAUGGCUCUCCUGGCCAUGUCUAGCACCAUCAUUUCCUGCCAUGCAACAGGUACCUACUCCCUUCAUUCACAAAUGUAACAUAUUUUAUACUCCCUCCGUAAAGAAAUAUAAGAGUGUUUAGAUUACUAAAGUAGUGAUCUAAACGCUCUUAUAUUUGUUUACAGAGGGUGUAUAUUUUUGUACAUACUAUAUACAAACUGAAAUGAGUGAACAAACAUACUACAAUGCAUCCAUAUACAUUUAAAUCAGAAAAAAAUCAUCAUAGAAUGCUUUUACCACGCUUGCCACGUGGUGUAUUUAUUCUCUCUUUCAUGUGCAAAAUGAAUUACUUUCUUCAAUAUAAAUUAAUCAAAAUUCUAGCUUUAUCAAAAAAACUUUAUCAAAAUUCUAGCUUUGUCCUAAAUCUUUCAUUUUUGACCAAAUUUAUAGAGAAAUAUGCUAAUAUUUACGACAUCAAAUAUAUACUACGGGGACAUAUUUUAUGAUGUAACUAAUUUGGUGUUGUAGAUGUUGAAAUUUUCUCUAUAGAGUUGGUCAAACUUAAAGAAGUUUGACUUAAGAUAAAGUUGGAAUUAUAACUAUUUUCUGGAAGGAAGGAAGCACCUUGGUAAUCGAUUGCUAUGCAAUAUAAAUGCACUAACGAGGUUAUCGCUCCAUUUUUCAUAGGUACAACAGGUCUGGGUAUAACAAGCACUUUUACGAAAUUGUGUGUAGCCGCAAAAGGUUGUACGCCCCCAAUCCAACCUACCGACAACAUUGUGUGCAAGGCUUAUUGUGUAGGGCGAGGUUACAAUAAGGAUAAAAGCUAUUGCUCACCAGAUAGUGGCGGCAUGUGCUGCUGCGAAAAGUAAUGAAUUACAUGUAUUGCCAUGUGCUGGAAAGAUAUGGUGCACUGUUGAGAAUAUCUAUCUAUGCACAUCUGAAAUUACUUCACAUGAAGAAUAAUCAAUAGAUGUAAUAUUUGAUUUAUAUCUUUUUGAAAACCUUCUUUCCUUAGGAAAAUAAAAACAUUUGAUCGCCAUGAUGCACUAUUAAUGAUAGCAAUGUUACAAUUCAGC